GAGUUUGAUUCUGGCUCAGAACGAACGCUGGCGGCGCGUCUUAAGCAUGCAAGUCGAACGGUAAGGGAGAGCUUGCUCUCCCCUAGAGUGGCGGACUGGUGAGUAACGCGUGGGUGACCUGCCCUGAAGAUGGGGAUAGCUAGUAGAAAUAUUAGAUAAUACCGAAUGUGCUCAUUUACAUAAAGGUAAAUGAGGAAAGGAGCUACGGCUCCGCUUCAGGAUGGGCCCGCGUCCCAUUAGCUAGUUGGUGAGGUAAAGGCCCACCAAGGCAACGAUGGGUAUCCGGCCUGAGAGGGUGAACGGACACAUUGGAACUGAGAUACGGCCCAAACUCCUACGGGAGGCAGCAGCUAAGAAUCUUCCGCAAUGGACGAAAGUCUGACGGAGCGACGCCGUGUGAAUGAAGAAGGCCGAAAGGUUGUAAAAUUCUUUUGCAGAUGAAGAAUAACCACAGGAGGGAAUGCCUGUGAGA
rnacentral:rRNA from 1 species